UUAGGUUCCCAGUAGUACAAUGGAAAUAUCCUCUGAGCUCCAUGACAAUGAGUGUUGGAACGCUGUACAAAGAAAGCAACCUCUCCACCAGCAAGAUCAACAUUCACAGGUACCAGCGCUUCCGAAACUUUUUAUGCAGCCAACUCUUUUAGGAGGACAUCAUUUUACCCUCACCAUGUGGACACCAAGAACAAAACAUGGUUUUCUUUUGAAGAUAAGCUGCCAAAGGGCUGGUUCUGCGCUGCCAAACCACCUCUGAUCACCGGGUCAUCGUGGAGAGCCAAAUAGAAAAGGAAACCAAAGCUGCGUUUGUGUCGGCAGGUGGCAAACACCUGCUGGGCUUCCUGGACGACCUUAAUAUGCCGGCAACUGACCACUUUGGAGUGUUUUACUGAAGGUCA